UAGUCCACGCCGUAAACGAUGUUCACUCGCUGUUGGCGAUAUACUGUCAGCGGCCAAGCGAAAGCAUUAAGUGAACCACCUGGGGAGUACGAUCGCAAGGUUGAAACUCAAAGGAAUUGACGGGGGCCCGCACAAGCGGUGGAACAUGUGGUUUAAUUCGAGGCAACGCGAAGAACCUUACCAGGCCUUGACAUGCUUGUCGCGAGUACCAGAGACGGUACUCUUCAGUUCGGCUGGACAAUGCACAGGUGCUGCAUGGCUGUCGUCAGCUCGUGUCGUGAGAUGUUGGGUUAAGUCCCGCAACGAGCGCAACCCUCAUCCUUUGUUGCCAGCACGUAAUGGUGGGAACUCUAAGGAAACUGCCGGAGUUAAUCCGGAGGAAGGUGGGGAUGACGUCAAGUCCUCAUGGCCCUUACGGCCUGGGCUACACACGUGUUACAAUGGGAGUGACAGCGCGUCGCUACUCCGCAAGGAGACGCUAAUCGCUAAAAGCUUCCUC
rnacentral:rRNA from 1 species